CUUACCGAGUUAACAUGUUUUAGGUGCCUGUCAUGUACUUGAAACUUCCUUGUUUAUAUGAGAAGCAUGAUGUUUGUCUCAUGUGUUUAUGUGUUAAUAACGUGUCAGUGUUUUAAUUUGCGGUGAUCUUCCGGGAAUCUCGCUCACGGGCGCACUUGCACAGUGGCAAAGGUGACGACAAAGCGUGUACUCUUAAUCUCAGGAAUAAUUAUCAAUCCUGAGAAAAAAAAAUCUAGCAGACUCAGCCCCUUAUUAUCCCCGAGACCGUGUAAAGACGGUACGGUGAAAAGGAGAAAAAGCAAACACUGAACGCAGACGCUUCUGUGCACUUCUCCUGCAUUGUGUCGCUCAGCCAGAGGAAUUUAAGGAGGUUUAAUUGCCUAAAACAGUCCUCUCGUCCACAUGACGGUCACACUGCAAGUGCUCAUGUUGAUACACCGAAAUGUAACAACAGAUGACUGGAGAUGGACUGCCACUGGACUAGGGCCAUGCUGGAUAAGCCUGAAAGCAGUAGGCAGGGAUGCACUACAGGGGUAUAUGUAACACUUUUCUAAAGUUAAAAAAAAAAACCAAAACGCUAGGAGCAUCCGGGACGAUUUUUUUGGAAGGCAGACGACCUAAACAGUUAGCUUGUAUACUCUAAACAAGUGCUAAAAAAAAAAACAAAAAAAACAGAGGAUCUGACCAAAACACAACUGUCCAGGAUCAUCUACACACAGACGGACAAGUUCCCUGCACCUACUGCUGGCCAGAGCAUGGAAGAGAAAUUACUUUCAUUAUGAGGACCUUCUGAAAUUUCAUCCGAAAUACUUACGAAGAACAGAAGAGGGACAUCGGAACACCUUCCGAAAAAGACAAGUGAUAAACAAAUGGAUCCAAUUAAAACACACUUCCACACUUCAUGUCAGCAAUGCAAGGAGGCAAAGUACACACAGAGUAUGGAGAUCACCCUUCUCCCCAAGUUCAAAGGCACAGGAGCUCAGAGGGCUGGAUUUGUUCAGGCAUAUUUGGUAAACCCCUGGAUUUGAAUUGUAGUGUGCAAGGCCAGAAGACCAUGUUUUAAAAAUGUUACAUUGUGAGAUUUUGUGUGAAAUCCCCAUAAUAAAUUCACCAAGUGUGCACAAGAAAUGGCUAUUCAUGUUUGUGGUCCUAAGUUUCUUUUUUUUU